rnacentral:rRNA from 1 species
UACGAGGGGGCAAGCGUUGUUCGGAAUUAUUGGGCGUAAAGGGUGCGUAGGCGGUUUUGUAAGUCUUGUGUGAAAUCUUCAGGCUCAACUUGAAGACUGCACGAGAAACUGCAGGGCUUGAGUGUGGGAGAGGUGAGUGGAAUUCCUGGUGUAGCGGUGAAAUGCGUAGAUAUCAGGAGGAACACCUGUGGCGAAAGCGGCUCACUGGACCACAACUGACGCUGAUGCACGAAGCUAGGGGAGCAAACAGG